rnacentral:rRNA from 1 species
UCGUCUAUAUACGUAUAGCAUAUCAAUAAGCGGAGGAAAAGAAACUAACUAAGGAUUCCCUCAGUAACGGCGAGUGAAGCGGGAAGAGCUCAAAUUUGAAAUCUUCAAGGUUCUACCUUGACGAAUUGUGGUUUAAAGAAGUGUUUUCUGUUGGAGUUUUGGUAAAAGUUCUUUGGAAUAGGACAUCAUAGAGGGUGAGAAUCCCGUAUUUGACCAUUACUUCCAGCGUUGUGAUACACUUUCAAAGAGUCGGAUUGUUUGGGAAUGCAGUCCAAAAUGGGUGGUAAAUUUCAUCUAAAGCUAAAUACUGGCGAGAGACCGAUAGCGAACAAGUACCGUGAGGGAAAGAUGAAAAGAACUUUGAAAAGAGAGUUAAACAGUACGUGAAAUUGUCAAAAGGGAAGCGUUUGACACCAGUGUUGUUUUCUCGAAAAUCAAUUAAAAAUGGUGGGAUUUUGUGUUGUAUUGACUUUAUCAGCUUUCUGCACUUUUUUCCUAUCUUUUUUAAUGCACUUUUCGUUUAACAAGUCAACAUCAAUUUCUUUUGUUGUAAAAGGGUCAUUGGAAGGUGGCUUUCUUUUCGGAGAAAGUGUUUAUAGCCUUUGACUUCUGCAAUCGGAGAGAUUGAGGUCUGCAGCGUAGAUCCUUCGGGGUUAGAUGCAUUUGUGCUAAGUUAUAGCCUUUCAUAGACAACUUGUUGACUAUGAUCAGUCAUGUAGCUUACUCGCUUAUGUUAUUUUACCUACGCUUAGGAUGUUGACGAUCAGCUGAGCGCG